CCCGGACCAUGCUGUUCUUGGGGAUGAGACGCAUGAGAGGGAGAAACAUCUCAAUAGAUACUGCUGACCUUCAUUUGUGGAAUCCUCAGUCAUCUACAGACAGAGAGGCUGCGGUGCAGUGGCGCUCUCUCGGCUCACUGAAACCUCUGCUUCCCGGGUUCCAGUGAUUCUUCUUCGGUAGCUGGGAUUACAGGCGCGCAUGACGAUAGCCGGCUAAUUUUUCUAUUUUUAGUAGAGACGGGGUUUCUCCAUGUUGGCCACGUUGGUAUUGUACUCCUGACCUCAAGUGAUCCACUCUCCUGGGCCUCCAAGUGCUGGGACGACAGGCCUGAGCCGCGGGGAUUUCAGCCUUUAAAAGCGCGGGCCCUGACACUUUUCGCUGCGACCCUUAUGCUCAGAAUGACGUGUCCUGUCUGCCAUAGGUUGACUCGUUGAGUCCCCUAUGCCAUUGCACUCUAGCCUGGGCAGCAAGAACGAAACUCCGUCCCCCCACCUUCCCGUGCAAAUUAAUAAAUAAAUAAAAUCUCUACACAUGACCUAUAAGUGUGUGUUCCCAUGAGUGAUUUCUAAGAAAUGGCACUGUACACUGAAGGCAGUGGCCCACGUCUGUCAUCCCAGCACUUUGGGAGGCCGCGGUGGGUGGGUCACGAGGUCAGGAGUUCAAGACCAGCGUAGCCAACAUGGUGAAACCGACUCAGUUUCGUAUUUUCAAUCUCUACUGAAA
rnacentral:lncRNA from 10 species